rnacentral:tRNA from 1 species
CUGGGCCGACGGGUUCGGCACCUGCUGGUUCUGGCCCGGUUGGUUCAGACCCGGCUGGUUCAGACCCGGCUGGCUCAGACC